rnacentral:tRNA from 1 species
GCAUUAAUAACUCACCGUCAAAACCCUGGUCUUGUAAACCUAUGUCUGAGGUUAAAAUCCUCCCUACUGCU